UUUGGGCUGGAAGCCUGAGUCAAAACUGAACAAAAGCUUGUCCGCUUAAGAAGAAUUCACUUCCAGCAACCUCUGUUCCACAAUGGCAAAGCUCUGUCAGCCACAUGGGGCACAGCAGGAAGAAGAAGGGAAUCCAAGAGGAAACUUGGCUUCAUACCUAUUGCAGCCUUAAUCACCCUUUUUGAACAGAAUUCAGCUGUCAGUCAUGUGGAAGACAAACACCUGUGGGGAAGUAUGGAAACAGCUCAUAUUAGAGAUGAUAUUACAGCCAGCAUCUGCUGCUUGUCUGCCACUCUGUUAGGAGAAAACAGUAAUGCAAGUCCUGUCAUAAAAUCUUAUGAUUGCGAUGAAUGAGGACACUGGGCAACGGGGGGAAAUAUUUUUUGAAAGAAAGAACAGGAAUGAUGCCAGGCUUUUAUGGACUGAUUGUUGUUGCUGCUGUUCUUUACUGGAUCCUGGGCACAGGGAGAUAGUUAUACUGAUGGACAAUGAAACCUGUUCCCUUUCCCUCUCCUAAGGCUUCUAUUCCAAUCUCAUAUUUUCUGUUUCCACUUCCUGAAAUUUCUUGGGUUAUCAUCUCAUCUGGCCCUUCUAAAGAUAUUUUCAAAUUAUUUGCAUAAAUAAUCCACCUAAACUUGUAAUGUUUAUUAUUUGUCUCUAUAAGGGGUACUGUCUAGUCUGCAGGGCCUAUCACAUUCAUGUAAGACAGGUAGCUAUCACUAGGUUAAUGGAUAACCAGUUUUAUACCAGUAUGAACUAUGAAACCAGAGAGAUUUCCAUUCUGUAUUUUGAAUUACAUAUUGAAAUCUUUGGUGCUGGCUGGUACUUAAUCACAGACAUGGAAAGAUGAUGUCCUUAUGCCAGUCUGUAAAAUUACUUUUAUACCCACAGCUGCCUUCAAAAGAUGCUCCUAGCGACUUGAUAAUUUUGCAAUAUACUUUCUGUCCCAGAUGCUCACAGGUUCUUUCAGGGCAGAAGAUUAAUUUGUUUUGUUAGCAAAAGUGGUAAGCAGAUAAUCUGACAAACCUGGUCUGGUGUGAUACAGGCAUUUUUAAAGCAGAGAGGGGAGAGUUUUAAAGUGGCUGUGGUAGGGAAACAAGGAUUUGCUUCAACAGUUAGAUUUGCUUAUGGAGAGAAGAAGAAAAGUUAGGAUAGUAUUGAAGAUGAGUGAGAGGCAGUAACAAAAGUCAGUUUCCUAGUUCUAAGUACUUGUAGAUCUUCUUGGUGCCAGGAACUGCAGUUGUUCGUUUUUCAGCAUCUUUUUACUAGUUAGGAUACUGUGACACAUUCUCAAUACAAAAAUAAGGUAGACUGAAAGCUCUUUAUGUUGUAACAAGUAGGUAAAAAUUAAAGUUGUAUACAGAAUUAAAAACCAAGAUCUGGAUUAAUGUCAUAGUAUGGUUUUAAUUUGCUUAAUAAUUUACCAUAGUACAGACAGGAUUUUGACAGCAGUUUUUUCUGCAUUAAAUGAAACUGAAAGCUGAUAUCAGGAAACUCUGCAGAGAAAAUUAAGUAUUUAAAGAAAUUCGGGGGCUUUGUUUAGAGUACUGCUUCCAUUUUUGAAAGUCAGAUGUGGAGCAUUUUAAUUCCAGAAGACUUUAAAAAUUGCACCUUUAGUUACACUGCAAAAUAUUGAUGUUGGUAUUAAAGAACUUUUUAGAUUAAAGCUGUAAGGAGGUUGCAAUGAAUCCAUGCACUUUUUUUUCUUGGAAUUUAGGUGCUUACAGUAUAUAUUCUGCUAAUUUUUCUGGGUUAGAAUUUAUAUCUCUGGGUUGAUAUUAUCAUUAACUGGUGAGGACUUUAAAUUGUAGGACUGUAUCUGCAAAAAUGAUAGUAAUCAUCAUUACUGCAGUCUGCAGGUCUGGACAAAAAUACAUGUGGUUCUGGUGACAAACAGAACAGGUAGAAUCUUUCAUUCACAGAUACCCUUUGCGUUUGUACAUUUUUAAUAUACUAGAUGCUGCAAAAAGUGGGAGAACAUGAAAACAAAAAAACCUCUGUUUCCUUCCUGGAAUAAGCAUGUUAAAUAUGCACAUACUGCAUUCUUGAAACAGCUUUGGGUUUGGACAAGCAAUAAAAGAGCCCCUGAAAUUCAUCCCUUUGGGAACUUCGAUGUCAAGCAUGACCGUGCUACUUCAAAGGAGAGAUCCUAGAGGAAGAUAUUGUGUAAGCUCUUACAGGCAUUGCUCAGAGCAGCAGCAUAUCCCACAGCCUGCCAAUACACAUGCUGGUUCAUUCCCACGCUGGCUUGCAGAAGAAGUGAUCAGAGAAUUGAAGACCUUCCUACCACGUUCAUCUAGAGGUGCCUGACCAGGGGGAAUUUCCAACAAGAACUGACGUUAUACUUCUGUUUGUGAAACAGACAGACAGUGUCACCUGUGUCAUCCCUGGGCUGCAUUGCAAAGGCUUAUCUUUGUGUCAACAAGAUGAUGUGACCUGUCCUCAUCAUUGAUGCAAAAGUACUGGCAAUCUGGGAGAACUACAGCUGGCAAAGUUAGAAGUCAGCUCUGUGACUUUCAUGUGGGGUCAGAUGAUGGGAACAGACAACUCAUUUUAGACAAGCAAAAGUAAACAAGUUUCAAAUAGGCGAUGUUUUUGACAUAACCUCUAUUUCUAGAGAAAAGCAAAACCUAAUACACAUUCUGACCAAAGGCCAAAUGCUGAGCCUUGGCUGCAUAUGCCUAAUUUUUAUUGUAAUCAGCAGGAACUCUGUGUGAGUAUGUCGAAGGUCAAAACUGAACCCCAACUUCAGCUCAGAUCAAUAUAACCAUGUGAUUUUGCCAGCUCCACCUAAGUGUAAUAAAGUAGAACUCAACCUAUCAUAACACUGAUUAAUACAUUUCAUGUUUAAGCAAAGAUACAGAACUUUAAAUUAAUGGCAGUCCAAGAAAAUGAAAGUCAGUGUAAACCAAAUAAAUACCUUGAGGUACAAAAUUUAAGCCCCCAGACAUUUACCAAGGCAUAGCUUAAAUGCUCUGUGCACAAGAGAGUACAUCUGAAGGAGUAAGAGAUGUGCUAAGAAACCAGACAUUAGACCUGCAGAAGGAGAAGAAACUCAUGGAUGGACUUAAGUCAAACCUGUCAUCUCAGUGACAGUGACAGUGUCAGUUUAAAGAACAGCAAGCAAUCUGAUGAGUGCCACUGAGAACUGGACACUUGCAGCUGAAUCCAAGAAAAAAGUACAAAAACAGUUCUCCAGCUCUUUUUCCACUGAAGGAAGGAGUAUUUUCCCUUUUGAAGUGCCUACUGCCUUGAAUUAGCUUUACACCCUCUACUUCCUCUGGGCCCACCACAAUAUGAGACUACAAUGAGCCUUCUUCCAGAACAUCACAGGUUUCAUUCCAUGCUCUGUCUUGGCUGUCCCUUAGGAAUAUGACUGUAUGAGGUGCAGAGUCUGACAUACAACAUGAGUUAAAUCCUCAGGCACUCUGCUCUUAGCAAUGCAGGUUAUAAAGUCCAGGGCACUUCUAACUGUGUUCUGGCAGAAGCGACACAGGACACCUGCUCAAGCUUUGGUCACGGUUGUAUGCAUUCUUUGAAGCCAGACGGGCAUUAAUUGUUAUUACAUUUAGUUUUUUAAUAAGUAAUUCCCAUCUCACACAUACAAUCUGUACACACAGAUUCAGAUACAGUUCUUGGGAGUUGGUUGGUUUAUAUAGACAUCGAUACAGUUGGUUGCAUAUAACCACCUGUCCUUAACUGGCACAUCUCUCACUGUAAUUAUUUUUAUGGUAAAAAACCCUUCUUUUGCCAAAGAAAUAUUGAUCCAUUUGAGAUGCACUACAUGAUUUAUAUUCUUAGAACGUGAAAACAUACCCCUCAGAACCCUCCCAAUUUAUUUUUCUGUAUAUAUUCCAUUUAGCUGAGUUUAUAUAUUUAGAAAGUAAAUCAUAAAUAUUUAGAGAGUAGAAAAUUAGAGCCAAGGAAAAUGUUAAAUAAAUUUGAAGUGUGUGCAUGUUAUGACACAGUUUUUAAAUUUCUGCCUUCCCAAGUGGAAGUGGAGAUCACAUAUUAUAGGGUGACUAUAUAUAUAUUCUCUAUUUUAAACCGUAUUAUGAUUUAAAAUAUUUUACUACUAAGUAGAAAAGCACACAUCUUAAACAAACCUGUCUUAGAGUAGGAGCCAACUGUAAUUGUAAUGUAAUGUCUUCCAGCUGCUACUGUGCAAUAUUCCAGCAGAACUUUUCCUGUUGGCUGCUAGGAUUUAUGUUACACUUAACCUUGAGCUGUUCUGGCAAUGCAGGGCCUGGUUCCACUUUUCUACUCCAUCAUGCUCACAAUAGUGUGAUGACACAUCAUCAACACGGCACAGCAUGUCUAUCAAGGCUCCCCCAGAAGGUGCUGAACAUUUUGUUUGCUCAGACAGCACAUCUGGCUCUUGAAUUCCUUCUUCUUGCUUCCCUUAGCAAUGUAAGACCUUUGAGAUUUUAGUCUUAGGAAUUAAAAGGACUGCCAGGAAAAGGUAUUGCAUAUUGUGGUGACUUUUCACUCUGAAACAACAAUUUCUUUGUUACCUCAAUAUCCUCCUCCUUCAGUGCCCUAACUGUAACCUCAACAGCCUAUCUAUUUGACUUAAAGGAAGGAAUUUGACUUAAUGCUAGCAAGAACAAGGUCUCUGAGAAAACAGAAUCCUCUAUUGUGCCUCCAUGUUAGCCUUGGUAUAAGCACCACUGACUAGGAGAGAGAGGCGAGACAGAGAAUCCUGUCAGCUUGAUACCUUUAUUUGGCAGGUUUAAGCCCUGUAAAAAGAUGUAAUUUGAAGAUGUUUGGAAACAGUAUGGUAGAACAGUGGAUGAAAAACCUCAAUGUCUUCCAUACUGAAUGUGCUGCUUUGCCAAUCAAUUUAAACAUCCCACUCUUGCUUUGUUAGAGCUUCACCACAAAAUCAAAUUCCCUCUCCUGGCUGCAGCCCAUGAUGCUUACAAAAUAUCGUUAAGGCAGCAAAGGGUGGAAGGUGAGAGGGGAAGGAAAAUAGCAUAGAAAGUCAGGAAGAAAAAAGAGUAAAAAUAAGAUGGAAAGGGGAGGAGCAGGGAAAGAAGGAAAUAAAACUAGAUUUUGAGCUGACAGCACAUUCCCACAGACCAAGACAGUGAAAAAUAACUUACAAACCACAUCAAGAGUGCACUUCAAAAUGCCUGGCUUAUUUUCCCUGCUUUUACUCCGGUGAGUUAUUACUGGUCAGCAUCCAGCAAAGAAGACACCCUCUUAACUGGAGAAGACCUUCAACCAUAAUAAAAAAUACUGCUGCAGGCCAACUGGUGUUCUUCAGUGAGAAGUAAUGCUCUUAUGGGAGUAAUGCAAAAAGUGGAAAAAAUAGUAUCUAAUCAGAACUGCAGGGGGAAAAAUGUGUCUAUGUGGAAAAAGGUAAUUUCCAAGUUGAAAACUAACCAGGAAACAGGCUUGAAAUAGUGGAAAACAGUAAACAAAUUCCUAUGAGAUGAACUAACAUUGUGCCCUGCAAUGAAAAGUAAUUGGAAAGUAAAGAAAACAAGUGGUUUGGAGCCAGAACAUAACAAAAACUGUCACGAAGUCUCAGAUCCCAGAUAGACCACACCCUUCUGGUGCUAGGCAUCUCUUGGAAGAGCAGUCUGUCUCCUGUCUCUUCUGAAUCAGAAGAGUUCACAGGAAUUUUUAAAUCACCGCUGUCUCUGCUGAAGGGGAUCUAAGAGAUAUAAAGAACAUUGCUGAAUUGGUGCUGCCCUUUCCAAAUGCACAACCUCAAAAACUUGUCGUUACAUCACUAAGAUAGAGACAGAUCACCACCAUUGCAUCCAGCUCUACUUCUGUGGAAAUCAAUAGGAAAACUCAAAGUUUAUUAUAAAAGCACUUGUAUGAAAAGCUAUUCUGAACUUUGGGAUUGUCUUACUUUGCAAAUUUCCUGUCAAUCCCAUUUUAUUUUUUUUCCUUCAGGGUGAUAUUGCCUUUCUUUAAAAGAAUCCCACCUCUAUCAAGAAAUUUUCUGUAAACCAGUGGGUUGCCAUCUUAGCCAUAAAUUUUUUCUGAGAUUUAAUCCUAUGUGUUCAUUAUCUCCAAGCAGGAAGAGGUUGUAUCUGCCUGAAACUUGUCCAUCUUUUGUAAUUGUGCUAGCUGGUGUAAUGACUCUUGUGGUACAAAUUAAUGUUUUCUUUUGUA